UACAGAGGUCUCAAGCGUUGUUCGGAUUCAUUGGGCGUAAAGGGAGCGUAGGUGGCGGAGUAAGUCAGGUGUGAAAUCUCGGGGCUCAACCCCGAAACUGCACUUGAUACUGCUUUGCUUGAGUACUGGAGAGGAGAUUGGAAUUUACGGUGUAGCAGUGAAAUGCGUAGAUAUCGUAAGGAAGACCAGUGGCGAAGGCGAAUCUCUGGACAGUUACUGACACUGAGGCUCGAAGGCCAGGGGAGGCAAACGGGAUUA
rnacentral:rRNA from 1 species